rnacentral:rRNA from 1 species
GUGAGUCAUCGAGUCUUUGGACGCACAUUGCGCUGUCUGGAAUCCCGGGCAGCAUGUCUGUUUGAGUAUCAUUUCUAUAUCCUCGUACUCUGCUGGUUACAUUCGUGUCGAAGCAACGAGUCGGGGGAAUUGAGGCAUUGUUUUCUAGUAAAACAUGCCUUAAAAUGUAAUAAGAGACCUUCCAAGCUCUCAAGCAGUUAUAGUCCGUAAGGAAUAUCAUCUGUCUGUAGAUGUUUGGAAAUAUCUAACACACUUAUGAACACGCUAUAAUGCGUAAACAUUGAUCUCAAAUCAGACAAGAUUACCCGCUGAACUUAAGCAUAUCAAUAAGCGGAGG